UACGAAGGGGGCUAGCGUUGCUCGGAAUCACUGGGCGUAAAGGGUGCGUAGGCGGGUCUUUAAGUCAGGGGUGAAAUCCUGGAGCUCAACUCCAGAACUGCCUUUGAUACUGAAGAUCUUGAGUUCGGGAGAGGUGAGUGGAACUGCGAGUGUAGAGGUGAAAUUCGUAGAUAUUCGCAAGAACACCAGUGGCGAAGGCGGCUCACUGGCCCGAUACUGACGCUGAGGCACGAAAGCGUGGAGAGCAAACAGG
rnacentral:rRNA from 1 species